rnacentral:rRNA from 1 species
AGAGUUUGAUCCUGGCUCAGGAUGAACGCUAGCGGCAGGCCUAACACAUGCAAGUCGAGGGAGAGGUUACCUUCGGGUAACCAAGACCGGCGCACGGGUGCGUAACGCGUAUACAAUCUGCCUUUCACAUAGGGAUAGCCCGAAGAAAUUUGGAUUAAUACCUAAUGGUAUAUAAGAGCGGCAUCGUUUUUAUAUUAAAGCUACGGUGGUGAAAGAUGAGUAUGCGUUCUAUUAGCUAGUUGGAGAGGUAACGGCUCCCCAAGGCGACGAUAGAUAGGGGUUCUGAGAGGGAUGUCCCCCACACUGGUACUGAGAUACGGACCAGACUCCUACGGGAGGCAGCAGUGAGGAAUAUUGGACAAUGGUCGGAAGACUGAUCCAGCCAUGCCGCGUGCAGGAUGAAGGUCUUAUGGAUUGUAAACUGCUUUUGUAAGGGAAGAAUAAGGGCUACGUGUAGUUUGAUGACGGUACCUUACGAAUAAGCAUCGGCUAACUCCGUGCCAGCAGCCGCGGUAAUACGGAGGAUGCGAGCGUUAUCCGGAAUCAUUGGGUUUAAAGGGUCUGUAGGCGGGCUUGUAAGUCAGAGGUGAAAGCGCUCAGCUCAACUGAGCAACUGCCUUUGAAACUGUUGGUCUUGAAUGGUUGUGAAGUAGUUGGAAUGUGUAGUGUAGCGGUGAAAUGCUUAGAUAUUACACAGAACACCGAUAGCGAAGGCAUAUUACUAACAAUUAAUUGACGCUGAUGGACGAAAGCGUGGGGAGCGAACAGGAUUAGAUACCCUGGUAGUCCACGCUGUAAACGAUGGAUACUAGCUGUUUGGAGCAAUCUGAGUGGCUAAGCGAAAGUGAUAAGUAUCCCACCUGGGGAGUACGCACGCAAGUGUGAAACUCAAAGGAAUUGACGGGGGCCCGCACAAGCGGUGGAGCAUGUGGUUUAA